UGGGAAAUGUAGUAAAGAGAGUUGCCAUGUGAUCCUGUGAAAAGAGGAUGCAUGCCCCUGGCAUCCUCGAAAAAUGUAGAACUCUCAACAGCUUCUCCAGCACCAUGUCUGCCUGUGAGCCACCAUGCUCCCUGCUAGGAACGUAAUGGACUAUCCCUCUGCACGACUAUACAGAGAAGCCCUGUUUCAAAAGAACAAAAACAAACA